GAUGAAGAACGUAGCGAAAUGCGAUAAGUAAUGUGAAUUGCAGAAUUCAGUGAAUCAUCGAGUCUUUGAACGCACAUUGUGCCCCCUGGUAUUCCGGGGGGCAUGCCUGUCCGAGCGUCAUUGCUGCCCUCAAGCACGGCUUGUGUGUUGGGCCGCCGUCCCCGGUUUCCCCCGGGGACGGGCCCGAAAGGCAGCGGCGGCACCGCGUCCGAUCCUCGAGCGUAUGGGGCUUUGUCACCCGCUCUGUAGGCCCGGCCGGCGCCAGCCGACACCCAACUUUAUUUCUAAGGUUGACCUCGGAUCAGGUAGGGAUACCCGCUGAACUUAAGCAUAUCAAUAAGCGGAGGA
rnacentral:misc_RNA from 1 species